GUCUACGGUUGUUGCCUAGGCAUGCGAGUCAUAUGUAGCAAUACAUGGCGUACUGCUCAGUAACACGUGGAUAACCUGCCCUUGGGUCCGGCAUAACCCCGGGAAACUGGGGAUAAUUCCGGAUAACGCAUAUGUGCUGGAAUGCUUUAUGCGUCAAAUGGAUUCGUCUGCCCAAGGAUGGGUCUGCGGCCUAUCAGGUAGUAGUGGGUGUAAUGUACCUACUAGCCGACAACGGGUACGGGUUGUGAGAGCAAGAGCCCGGAGAUGGAUUCUGAGACAUGAAUCCAGGCCCUACGGGGCGCAGCAGGCGCGAAAACUUUACAAUGCGGGAAACCGUGAUAAGGGGACACCGAGUGUCAGCAUCAUAUGCUGGCUGUCCAGGUGUGUAAAAUACACCUGUUAGCAAGGGCCGGGCAAGACCGGUGCCAGCCGCCGCGGUAACACCGGCGGCCCGAGUGGUGAUCGUGAUUAUUGGGUCUAAAGGGUCCGUAGCCGGUUUGGUCAGUCCUCCGGGAAAUCUGAUAGCUCAACUAUUAGGCUAUCGGGGGAUACUACCAGACUUGGAACCGGGAGAGGUAAGAGGUACUACAGGGGUAGGAGUGAAAUCUUGUAAUCCCUGUGGGACCACCUGUGGCGAAGGCGCCUUACCAGAACGGGUUCGACGGUGAGGGACGAAAGCUGGGGGCACGAACCGGAUUAGAUACCCGGGUAGUCCCAGCUGUAAACGAUGCAGGCUAGGUGUUUGGACGGCCACGUGCCGUUCUAGUGCCGCAGGGAAGCUGUCAAGCCUGCCGCCUGGGGGAGUACGGUCGCAAGGCUGAAUUCUCUUUGAGCAAUCGCUCAAGAGGCAGUUGACUUAAAGGAAUUGGCGGGGGAGCACCACAAGGGUGAAGCUUGCGGUUUAAUUGGAGUCAACGCCGGG
rnacentral:rRNA from 1 species